UCCGGUUUGUCACCGGCAGUCUCCUUAGAGUUCCCGCCAUUACGCGCUGGCAACUAAGGACAAGGGUUGCGCUCGUUACGGGACUUAACCCAACAUCUCACGACACGAGCUGACGACAGCCAUGCAGCACCUGUCACUUGGCUCCCGAAGGCACCAAAGCAUCUCUGCUAAGUUCCAAGGAUGUCAAGGCCUGGUAAGGUUCUUCGCGUUGCGUCGAAUUAAACCACAUGCUCCACCGCUUGUGCGGGCCCCCGUCAAUUCAUUUGAGUUUUAACCUUGCGGCCGUACUCCCCAGGCGGUCUACUUAGUGCGUUAGCUGCGCCACUAAGAGCUCAAGGCUCCCAACGGCUAGUAGACAUCGUUUACGGCGUGGACUAC
rnacentral:misc_RNA from 1 species